CAGGUCUGCCUGACCAUGCCCUUGCAGGCCUGGUCAGGGUGAUGUAAAGUGAGAGGUUCAGGGGCUGGGUUUCACUUUCGUUUUUCCUUUUCAGCUUGCUGUACAGACUGCUGCUGCACCGGCUGGCUGGGUCACUCUGUGCCUACUGAAUCACCUUUGAGACCACCCCAGCAGGUCUGGAGAAUCUUAUUGCAGUCUGGGGAAGGGAGGAGUCUAUGCUGCCCACUCUGCCUUGGAUGGUGGGGUGUUCAAUAAUAAAAGGUCCAGCUGCCGGGACAAUACUCAGCCAUGAUCAGGACUGCCCAGCUUCUGGCCUAGACGAAGUGACCUUAGCCAACCCCUGUGAAAGGGCUGUUCAAGCCCCCAAAGGGCUCAUGACCCACAGUUUGAGAAGCACUGGUCUAAGAACCAACAGCUACCCCAGGCCAGAUCUUCACCAGUCCUCCAGGAGACAAGAGCAGGCUUCCAGCACCAGAUUGAUGGCUGAUGAGGACAGACACAGGACAUCUAUCAGACAAGAGCUACAAAGGCAUCUAUCUGCCAGUCCAAACAGCUCAGUGUGAAGGACUCCCAGUCAUUGUCCAACAACCAGGUGAUAGGCCUGGCUGCCAGGCAAGUGCAGUGUCUGUGAAAGGCACACUAUAAGCAACUGAACGUAGAUCUUUUUCCUUGCCCUUAGGGCAGAGUGCUGGCUGCCCUGGUGCUCCAAGUCAAUCAAUGACAAAGAUCUCCACAGUGUUUAUUAGCUGCAUCUUCUAAAUCCCCUCCCCUUUGGGAAGGCAUCUUUGCUGGCAGUCUGUAGCAUCACUUUGUGCAAACUUCUGCUGCCAGGCCGUGGUCCCACCUUUCCACUGAAACUCAGAACAAAUUCCCCUGCCACGACGAUGACCGCCUUGUGGCUGUAGAUGCAGUCCUUUGGGCCACGCAGAACAUUAUGGCUUACAGAAGGUCCUCCAUCCAUGCUUUUACUGACUCUUGGAGAGUCACAAACGAAUUAUGUGUUUGAUCAACCCAGUAGCAUGGAGAGAGAGAAAUCCUUACCCAGGCCCAUCUUUGUGGGAUGCCUCCAUCUGAAAAGAGGUGGCCAAAUGGCCAAUCAUAAUGACUAGAUGGAGUGAAGAAAAGUUACAUGGUCGCAACUGGGAGCUGGAAAGUGCCGCAGACGUGGGUGGACCAGAGCAUAGUGCAAUGGAUAUCCCUGGAGAGUCAGCCUUGCAGGUAAACGUUUGUCUUCAGAGUGGCAAUGUUAGUGCGAGCCAAGGCUUAUAGCCUUUAUGAUACUCCAGGAGACAAGUGCUUCUUUAUACAGGUGGACAAUUCCCUCUGCCCAUAGGCUUCUGCCUCCGAGACUGCUAAAAUCCUUGUUUAAUAAAUGCCCUUUAACUCUAAGACAUUAACUAUACCAAACUCCAGGCCAUAUUGUCACCAUUCUUUUCACUGUAAUUGGGUACAUACAGUCACAUAGCCCAUAUUGGUAAUUCAGGGAUAAUUAGUAUUAUCUUUAUAUUCUCCAAAACUCCCCCUAUGAAUUUAAAGUAUCAGUUGUUUUGCUUUAUGCUAACCAUUGAUCACCAAA